rnacentral:tRNA from 1 species
GGUGGCUUAAUGGUUAAGCGCUUGACUGCUAACCAGAAAGUUGGUGGUUCUAACCCACUAGCCA